rnacentral:tRNA from 2 species
ACCGGGAUGGCUGAGUAGUUAAGGCGUUGGACUUAAGAUCCAAUGGACAGGUGUCCGCUGUGGGUUCCAGCCCCACUCCCGGUA